CAAAAAGUAAAUUUUGUAGGCAUUUUUUUUCAAAAUUCAUUUAUAAAUUUGUAUAAUCAUGAUAAUCAUGAUAAUCAUGAUAAUGUUGAAUAUUCAUGUGAAUUGAAACAUUAAUCAGUUGUCUUCACUUAGCAAAUAGUCUCCCUUUGGUUCAAAGAACUAUUGAAGGUUUGCAUCUUUAAUUCAUUUAAAAUCAUGGAUAUAUAUUUCAAGAAAGUACAAACUAACUGAUCGACUGAUUAUUGGCUUUUUCUCAGUUUUAACUUUUAUAUUUUUAUACAUCACAUUAGCAUAUAAUUCAUAACAUUUGUAAGGGCAUAACAUGGCAAUAUAUGAUUAACAUGCUGUAAAUUCAGAAAUUAUUGUAAGGUUUUUAUUCAUAAGAAUAAUGCCACUAAGUGAGUAUCUCAAUAAUAAAAACUCUGAUAUCGUAUACAUCAUUGUACAUAUCUGUAUGCAGAUUUUCUUGAAAUUGCAAUAAAAAAUCUCAGGAUUUUGUCCAUUCUUUAAAAAUUGCAUUAAUAAAUGCACACAAUAAUUUCUUAAUUAACAGUACGUCAAAAUAGAUAAAAUAUUUUGUAAUUUAUUUGAAUAAUUGUAAAACUUAGUAAUUUAUUUUUUAUAACUAUGACCUUGAACUUGCUUUAUGAACAGUGAUGUUGAUACUAAACUUAUUCUUUUUAAUUCAUUUAACAUGAUUAAUUGUGAUCAUAGUGAACUUUCCAUUCUUACUUUAUUGAAUGUGAUCAUUGACUCAUUAGGGUUAUUCCAUUAAAAUUAAUGUGGGAGAAUAGGAAUAUUCCAUUAAAAUGAAUGUGAGAGGGUAGGAAGAUUCCAUCAAAACUGAUGUGGGAGGGAAGAAAGAUUCCAUUAAAAUGAAUUUAGGAGGGAAGCAAGGUUCCAUUAAAAUGAAUGGGGGAGGGUAAGAAGUAAGGAUAUAUUUUUUUACGACAUAGGUUGUGGCCCAUUUAUGAAUGCAUGUCCAUUUGAUGUGUGCAUUCCCAUUUUUUUCAGGUAUAUAGAUGGAUGGCCAUUUGAUGUAUACUAGUUCAUUAAAAACAAGUAUGUUCUUGGUGGACUGUGCUAGCUCCUUUGUACGUAUCCACUUUCAUUCAUUUUAAUGGAACAGGCUUAACACUUUUAAAUAAAAUCAUGUAUGGACUUAUUUAAUUAAAUAUAGGUUGUAAUUGUGAAUACUUAAUCAUGUUAAUUCUAACAAAUAUAUAAGAUCCAUGUAGAUGUCUUUUCUCCUUAUAGAACAAUAUCAAGUACAUAUACAUAAAUGGUACUGUUGUUUAUUGCAUACAGUGUGUAGCAUUUUUGUCUACAAAAGCCGAUUUAUGCAUUUUUUUCCCCUUAAUUUUGUCAAAUGAAAUAUUUACAUGUUGGAUACGACAAAUGACAAGUAUCUAUGACAAGUAUCUAUAUUUUAAGUUUCUCUCUAAAAAUAGAUUGAAGGAAAUUUACCAUAUUUUAUUUAGCCUGAGAUGUUUCUAGUUUCUAAUUGCUGUAACUACUAGGUAUCAUGACUUAUUAAGGUGAUCUUUUUCUUUUCCAAGUUUUUUUUUAUGAAUGGCUGUUUGGUUUUCAAGCCCAUCAAAUUUCCUAAGUCUUAUGAUUCUAUGAAAUGUAAAUUGUGCCAAAAAUCAAGUAAUACUAUCAAACGUUAUGUUCAACAACAUUUGUUCAUCCCAAAUUUAUUUAAAAGCAGCGAUCAUUUCUCAUUUGAAAUCCAUUUAGUUGACCUUGCAGUUUAUAGUUUGCAAGAGUUGUCUCUCUUUCUGGAAGGUAACUUGUAAUGUGUGGCAAAUAUAAGUUAAUUUUAGGACAAAGAAUGAUACAUGUAUGUAAGGAAAGCUUAAAAUAAUAAAAUUAAAUAUUGUACUAAAAUAUUGUUUCCACUGUUGUAAAGUAUGUAGAAAUAUUUUUAAUGAAGUAAGAAUAUUUUUUUUCAAAGGGAAAUAACUACAAAUUGACAUGAGGGAGGUUACAUUGUUCCUACAUUGUUGAAAUUUGGACAUAGGGAAAAUGUUAUUAGCAGUAGGCACCAAAAUCUUUUCCAAAGAUCAAUAUUCAAGCCUUUGCCUUGUGUGUCUUAACAAAGUUUUGCCAAAACUUACAAGUUGGAAUCAAAUUUUGUAAGUCUAGGGCAUUGGAAUAGUGACUAACAGUGCAAAUUGUUAAAAAAAGAUUGGCUCUUUUCAAGGUGGUUGUUAUCAAGUGUAGUAAAUAAAAGGGAGAUAAAAAUUUUCUGAAAACAGAUUUUGGAGCUUUUGGAUCUACCAAGGGUAAAUAGUAUACUUUUUUGUUGGAAAUUUUGAUAACAAUUUCUUGCUUUCAAAUUUAAUCAUAACAGUGAUGCAUGGUGUCGGUUACAGUUAUGUAUUCUCUGUAGAGCUUCAAAUGGGAGUUAAUAUACCUGAACUACUGGGAGGUAACUAUUGCUGGAUAGGUUGGUGAGGUAUUAUCUCUUUAAUCAAGUUCACUUAGGCACCAACUGUUGCCUAUAUGGGGCGAAUAGUUUAAAAAUUCAGUUUAGAUUGAGAAAUGUCACUUAUUUAUGUUUCCUUAUUCAUGAUUCCUAAGGGGGAAUUAUAAUGCCAGUUUUCAACAGUUAUGGUGCUUUAUUCAUUGUUUUCUUCUGGUAAGAUAAUUGUUGGUUUUAACUUAAAUAUCAACUUAAGCGUUAUUCCAAUAAUAUGAAUCUGAUGGUAGGAAAGGAAUUUUCAUUUAUGGUUGUACGUCUAUUGAAUGUAUCCAAAAUUAUUAGAGAAAGCAUUAGGAUUGUGGAGGCAUUUUAUAAGCCUUUCCUACCCUUCUUCCAUUUUUAAUGUAAUAUCAUUAACAAAAAGAACUUCUUUUGCUGGUAGAAAAUUGAAAGGUGGAUUAUUUUUCAUUAUUCUAUCAUGACAAUGUAAUAAAUUUCUUAAAGAAAAAAGCAAGUUGUAAUAUAUAUCAAGAAUGUGUUUUAUUUAUUUGUUAUGUUGAUGUAUUGUUAUUUAUUUUAAAAGCUUUAAUACUAUUUUAUUUCUGUUGAUG
rnacentral:lncRNA from 1 species